rnacentral:snoRNA from 1 species
ACUGUCUGAAAAUCAUCUCUGGCCCCUUUCAGUGGCUUUGGAUGAGAUAAUGGUGCCUACAGGAAAGGGAACAUUAAGCUUAUUGCCUUCANGUACAAAUAUGUUGGCAAUAAAACCCAUGUUCCUACACAU